rnacentral:rRNA from 1 species
GAUGAACGCUGGCGGCGUGCUUAACACAUGCAAGUCGAACGGAAAGGCUCCUGCUUGCAGGGGUACUCGAGUGGCGAACGGGUGAGUAACACGUGGGUGAUCUGCCCUGCACUUCGGGAUAAGCCUGGGAAACUGGGUCUAAUACCGGAUAGGACGAUGGUUUGGAUGCCAUUGUGGAAAGUUUUUUCGGUGUGGGAUGAGCUCGCGGCCUAUCAGCUUGUUGGUGGGGUAAUGGCCUACCAAGGCGUCGACGGGUAGCCGGCCUGAGAGGGUGUACGGCCACAUUGGGACUGAGAUACGGCCCAGACUGCUACGGGAGGCAGCAGUGGGGAGUAUUGCACAAUGGGCGCAAGCCUGAUGCAGCGACGCCGCGUGGGGGAUGACGGCCUUCGGGUUGUAAACUCCUUUCGCUAGGGACGAAGCGCAAGUGACGGUACCUGGAGAAGAAGCACCGGCUAACUACGUG